CAGGUGCUGCAUGGCUGUCGUCAGCUCGUGUUGUGAAAUGUUGGGUUAAGUCCCGCAACGAGCGCAACCCUUAUCCUUUGUUGCCAGCGGUCCGGCCGGGAACUCAAAGGAGACUGCCAGUGAUAAACUGGAGGAAGGUGGGGAUGACGUCAAGUCAUCAUGGCCCUUACGACCAGGGCUACACACGUGCUACAAUGGCGCAUACAAAGAGAAGCGACCUCGCGAGAGCAAGCGGACCUCAUAAAGUGCGUCGUAGUCCGGAUUGGAGUCUGCAACUCGACUCCAUGAAGUCGGAAUCGCUAGUAAUCGUGGAUCAGAAUGCCACGGUGAAUACGUUCCCGGGCCUUGUACACACCGCCCGUCACACCAUGGGAGUGAGUUGCAAAAGAAGUAGGUAGCUUAACCUUCGGGAGGGCGCUUACCACUUUGUGAUUCAUGACUGGGGUGAAGUCGUAACAAGGUAACCGUAGGGGAACCUGCGGUUGGAUCACCUCCUUA
rnacentral:rRNA from 1 species